GACGAACGCUGGCGGCGUGCCUAAUACAUGCAAGUCGAACGCAGUGGGGACGGGUGAGUAACACGUGGGUAACCUCCCAUCAGAGGGGAUAACACUUGGAAACAGGUGCUAAACCGAUACUGAUGGAUGAACCCGCGGUGCAUUAGCUAGUUGGUGAGGUAACGGCUCACCAAGGCCACGAUGCAUAGACGACAUGGGAGGGUGUGCGGCAACACUGGGACGGAGACACGGCCCAGAAUACUACGGGAGGCAGCAGUAGGGAAUCUUCGGCAAUGGGCGAAAGUCUGACCGAGCAACGCAGCGUGAGUGAAGAAGGUUUGCGGAUCGUAAAACUCUGUGGUUAGAGAAGCGGUAUCUAAACAGAAAGCAACGGCUAACUACGUGCCAGCAGCCGCGGUAAUAC
rnacentral:rRNA from 1 species